GACGAACGCUGGCGGCGCGCCUAACACAUGCAAGUCGAACGGAGCUUAAAGAGCUUGCUUUUUAAGCUUAGUGGCGAACGGGUGAGUAACGCGUGAGUAACCUGCCCUGGAGUGGGGGACAACAGUUGGAAACGACUGCUAAUACCGCAUAAGCCCACGGCCCGGCAUCGGGCUGCGGGAAAAGGAUUUAUUCGCUUCAGGAUGGACUCGCGUCCAAUUAGCUAGUUGGUGAGGUAACGGCCCACCAAGGCGACGAUUGGUAGCCGGACUGAGAGGUUGAACGGCCACAUUGGGACUGAGACACGGCCCAGACUCCUACGGGAGGCAGCAGUGGGGGAUAUUGCACAAUGGGGGAAACCCUGAUGCAGCGACGCCGCGUGGAGGAAGAAGGUUUUCGGAUUGUAAACUCCUGUCGUUAGGGACGAUAAUG
rnacentral:rRNA from 1 species